GAUGAAGAACGCAGCGAAAUGCGAUAAGUAGUGUGAAUUGCAGAAUUCAGUGAAUCAUCGAAUCUUUGAACGCACAUUGCGCCCCUUGGUAUUCCAUGGGGCAUGCCUGUUCGAGCGUCAUUUGUACCUUCAAGCUUUGCUUGGUGUUGGGUGUUUGUCCAUUCUCUUGCAGAGGGACUCGCCUUAAAGUAAUUGGCAGCCGGUGUUUUGGUUUUGAAGCGCAGCACAAGUCGCGAUUCAACGCUAUACGCCAGCUUCCACAAGCCUUUUUCACUUUUGACCUCGGAUCAGGUAGGGAUACCCGCUGAACUUAAGCAUAUCAAUAAGCGGAGGA
rnacentral:misc_RNA from 1 species